GCUCGUUUGAGUAGAGGCACUGCCUGAAAUGUAAAAUAUAAAAAUAUUAACUAGUUUUCUUAAAUAACUCCAAUCGCUAUACCUAUCUUCUUUCAAUAAUUCUCCUAAUCAUUUAAUGAUGUUUUAACUGUUUAUUUCAAUUAAAUAUCAUAAAUCAUUAUACAUGUUUGAUUGCAAAGAAAUAUAAAUUUGAAUUAAAAUUCAACUUUCCUCUGACUAUUUAGCUUUCUCAAUUACCUAAAUAAGUUGCUGAAAAAAGUCAGUAAGUUAGAAGGGGUUAACAAGUUGGACUUCAUUAAUAGAAGUACGAACAAGAAAUUAUCUAGAUCAAGAUAAAAUAAUUUCCACAUUGGAAAAUAAAAUUUAGGGUAUUUUACAAAAAUUUUCUUGAGAUUAGACAAAAAAAAUAAUUUAGUUCUGAUUAUUUGAAAUUCUACUGAUUGCAUUUCUAAUGUUUAAUUUCUUUUACAA
rnacentral:misc_RNA from 1 species